rnacentral:rRNA from 2 species
GACGGAGGGGGCAAGCGUUGUCCGGACUCACUGGGCGUAAAGGGUGCGCAGGCGGCAGAGCGCGUCCGCGCUGAAAUCUGUUGGCUUAACUGACAGGCGCGUGCGGAUACGGCUCAGCUCGAGGCACGGAGAGGGUGGGGGAACUCCUGGUGUAGUGGUGAAAUGCGUAGAGAUCAGGAAGAACACCCGUGGCGCAAGCGCCCACCUGGCCGUGACCUGACGCUGCGGCACGAAAGCGUGGGGAGCGAACCGG